GCGGCCUGUGGAGUCAUGAUGAAUAUUGUCUCCACAGCCUCCGACCUCUCUCAAGAUUUCAAGACUGGUUAUCUAACCCUUUCUUCACCACGGUCCAUGUUUGUGAGCCAACUAAUUGGCACUGCAAUGGGUUGCAUUAUUUCACCUUGUGUCUUUUGGCUGUUUUUCAAGGCCUUCAAGGAUCUUGGGACUCCUGGAAGUCAAUACCCUGCUCCUUACGCUACUGUAUAUCGAAACAUGGCUAUAUUGGGGGUAGAUGGAUUCUCGUCUCUGCCAAAGAAUUGCCUCUAUCUUUGUUAUGGGUUCUUCGGCGCUGCUAUUCUGAUAAAUUUAAUUAAGGAUGCAUUGGGUAAGAAAUGGGCUAGGUUCAUUCCUAAUCCAAUGGCGAUGGCUAUACCUUUCUAUAUUGGCUCAUACUUUGCCAUCGACAUGUGUGUGGGAAGCUUGAUUCUAUUUAUCUGGGAAAAGAUUGACAAGGCAAAGGCAGAUGCUUUUGGGCCAGCAGUGGCUUCUGGUUUGAUUUGCGGGGAUGGGAUAUGGACUUUGCCUAGUGCGAUACUUGCUCUAGUAGGAGUAAAACCUCCCAUUUGCAUGAAGUUUCUGUCAAGGAGAACAAAUGCUAAGGUCGAUGCGUUCUUAGAGUCAUAAAGUCGAAGUUGAGAUCAACUUGAAUAGAAACUGUGAAGUAAAGCUGAAUUGCUUCCCAGACUAAGGUUAUGAAGUUUACAUGUGAAGUUCGACUCAAAAAUGCUGUAGAUAAUCAAUCACCUGCUAUUUCGUGGAGCCAACCACUAUUUUCGCUAUAAUCUUUUCUGGAGAAGAAAAUCAAAUGUCCAUUUACUUAUAUAUGUUUGUAGUUUUUUUCUAGUCUAGUUUGAAGAAGGUUGUAGAACAGAUACAUCAAGCAAUGUGAAAGGUGAAAAUUACAAUACCCUUUGUGAGCUGUUAUGAUCAGUUGCUAUAUUUGGUAUCAGGUUUGCUCAUUUUGCUAGCUAUGAUCAUAUCAGGUGGUCCGAUUAAUGUGGCAUUGGAAUGGCCUUCUAGUUAUUAGCAGUCUCACAAUAAAACCAUGCCAGACUUGGUUAUCCAACCCGAGAAAAAAAAAAAUUGGAAAAAAUAUCAGAUUCGUCGAGGAAGACGAUAAAAGCUUCAGCGAAUAAGAUACUUGUAACAAAUAUUUUACCUAGGUUUUUCCUAAGAAUAUGAAAAGAAGCUGAAAAAUAGACAAGCUUUUCCGUAGUCUCAGGGAGUGUUUGGGGCUGCGUUUGUAGUUGUAUUUUGGUAAAUUUAAUUAUUAUUUUUUUGUUAAAAUUGAGUGUGGUUUGUAUUUUUUUGGAUCGUUUUGAUGUGCUGAUAUCAAAAAUAAUUUUUAAAAAAUAAAAAAACAUCAUUGACAUGCUUUUCGACACGAAAAUCUAUUUGAAAAACAACUACUAUCACAUUGUCAAACAUACUCUGAGGGAGUGAAGUACAUAAAGAGGUUAUCAUACGUUCUUCCCCAUGCAAAUAUAUAUUCAUAGUUAAUUAUCAUAGAAUCCUCAACUCUCCAUCUUCAAUCUCAAUCUUUGUAAGGCAAGAUCCUGCAUUGUUUUUUUGAGUUAAGUUUAAAUUAAAUAACGUUAAAUUAUUUAUUUUAAACUUGUAUUUUUUAUUCGCUUAUUUUAUUUUUAUUUAACAAAUUUCUCUGCAAGAUUGCUUGAUUUGUGUUAUGAUGUUAGUAUUUAGUAAACAAGUAAUUAGAAAAAUAAUCUCUGAUUAAUUAUGUUGAGAAGUAAAAACCCAACGUAUAUAUAAUUAAUUGGACAUUGUUUAAAUCUUCCACGCACGUUACAUCCAAGUCAAUUUCUUUAUUUCUUAUACCAUUUUUUCCCACAAACUUUGGACACUGGACAUACACAGAUUUUUUAUUUUCCUUUUUUUUUUUUUUUGGAAAUGAGCCAAUUGACUAUUGACUUCUCGUCUUCUACAAAUUAGAAAUAGAAGCUUUUGGCAUGGGAUUAGUGACCAUUUGGUAACUUGAUUAAAACAUUCCUUUUAAAAAAAAAAAAAAUUAAGGAAUAGCUAAAUAGUGACAAGUUUUGGGUUUACUCUCCAAUCAAAGUGAAUGAAAGCUUAUUUAUUUGUUAAUUUCUAGAUUUAUAAAAUUAAUUAAUGUAUGCGUAAGAUGACUCGGACACCCGCAUUAAUAAAAAUAAUUCUUUUAAAAUUUUAAUUUUUAAAUUAUUUUAAAAACAAUUUAUAUCACAUUUCUAAUCUAGCUCUUCAAAGUACCUACAUACCCCUACACACACAUACACACAUAAUAUAUAUAUAUAGGCUCAGCUCAAACACAUGUGAUUUAGGAUCACUUUGUUGUUUUAAACUUUUAAAAAAUAUAAUAUUAAUUAUUUUUUAAAAUAUUUUUUAUUUAAAAAAAUUAUUUAAAUUAUAUUUUAAAAUCAUUUUAAAAACAAUUUCUACUAUAUUUUUAGUAUAGCUCUUCCAAGUAUCACAUAUAUAUAUACAUAUUACAAACUCAAUUCAAUCAAAUAUUAUUUAGGAUAAUUUGUUAUUUUAGAGAGUGUUUAAAAAUAUAGUACUUAUUAUUUUUCAAAGUAUUUUUUUUAAGAAAAUAUCAAAAUAAUAUUAGCAUAUUAAAAUAAUUAAAAAACAUUAAAUAAAAUUAAUUUAAGACUUAAAAAAACAGACAUGCAACGACCCGUUUUAACUCCUCAUGUUCAUCGUCUUCAAUUCGCCUGUAAUGUGUUGAGCAAUAGUCACAACUCACAACCACUUAUUAAACAAGGUAAUGAAGAAUCAUUAUGAUUGUGAAAGAGACGACACCAAGGUAUAAGUGGUGUGUAAGGAUGCCUUGGGUAAGAAACGUGCUAUGUUCAUUCCCAAUCCAAUGGCAACGGCUAUACCUUUCUAUAUUGGCUCAUACUUUGCCAUCGACAUGUGCGUGGGAAGCUUGAUUCUAUUUAUCUGGGAAAAGAUUGACAAGGCAAAGGCAGAUGCUUUUGGGCCAGCAGUGGCUUCUGGUUUGAUUUGCGGGGACGGGAUAUGGACUUUGCCUAGUUCGAUACUUGCUCUAGCAGGAGUAAGACCUCCCAUUUGCUUGAAAUUUUUGUCAAGGAGAACAAAUGCUAAGGUCGAUGCAUUCUUAGGGUCAUAAAUUUGAAGUUCAGAUCAACUUCAAUAGAAACUGUGAGUUAGAGCUGAAUUGCUUCCCAGACUAAGGUUAUGAAGUUUACAUAUGAAGUUCGACUAAAAAAUGCUGUAGAUAAUCACCUGCUAUUUCGUGGUGCCCAGUGGCGGAGCCACGUGGGGACAAAAGGGGGCAAUUGCCCCCUCAACUUUUUUUUUUUUUUAAUUUAUAUGUAGUUGAAAGUGUUAGCUGAUCAGCACCAGCUUACCAAAAUGAAAAUGAAAACUGAAACAGGAGAUACCAAAAUUUAUAUUUAGGGAAUUUACUGCAGGGAAGGAAAAAGGAAACAUGCAUUGUUUAUAAUUGUAGGCUUAUAAUAUAAUAUAGUAUAUAUAAACAGCUUAUUGCACAAUUUUUUUUUCUCCUUUUGUUUCCAUAUUAAAUUGAUGGUACCAGCUUUAAAAUAUGGAAUUCCUAGCUAUCAAAGAGUAUUUUUUGUUCCCUGCUUUUGCCGCGUUGUUCUUUUCUUGAGUUGCUCUGCCGCUUUGUUCUUUUCAUGAGCUGUUGUUCUUUGUCUCUCUCACAUGCAAAUUUCUCAUCAAGUAUAGGUAAUCAAUUAAUCUUUUUUGCCUUUUGCUUUAUAUUUUAGGUAAAUUUUCUUUAUUUAUUUCAUUGUUUAAUUUUAUUUUUAUUUUUUUAUAAUUAGUUAUUAAAAAUAGUAGGGUUUAUGAUAAUUUAUGGGUUUUGAUAUAAAUAUGUUCAAAAUAAAUGUUUAAAUCUACUAAUUUAAUCAAUUAAAUAUUUCUUUUCUUAUUAUAAAAGAAUAAAUUAAUAUUCAUGCAAAACCACUAUUUUUGACAUCUCUUGCAUUGGCAGAGUAUUUUAUUGAAAUUUAAUAUUUUCAUAUGACUUGUUUGUAAGUAAAAUAUCAAGUAGAAAGCAUGUUUUUCAAGAAUUGUUUCUCUUACACAUACACUAGGCAUUGCUCCUCAAUUAAAUAUCUAGAAAUAAUUAAGUAUAAUUUAAUCAACAAACUUAUUAUAUGUAUAUAGAUAUGAAUUGAAAUAGGUUUUGAUUUUGAUGAAUUGAUGUGUAUUUUUCUAUGAAUUUCAUAUGAAAGAUUUAGAAUUAUUGUGUAACUCAACUGAUUUUUAUUUAACAGUGAAUUAUUAUAUAGUUGUGUUAAUUAUUAUGUAGACACUAAUGAUGAUAAAAAAAUUCCAGCAGGUUCAUAUUAAAUUAACAUGUCACUAGACAAGUAUUUCAAGCAUAAAUCCCUUGAGGAUGAAGAAUUAGUAUAUAUGCUUUGAAUUGAUUUCUAAUAGAUAUCUAUAUAAUUUAGUAUUUAUUAAUAAUUUGCCCUCUCAUUGAAAAAACUCUGGCUCCGCCACUGGUGGUGCCAACAACUAUUUUCUUUGAAAUCUUUUCUGGAGAAGAAAAUCAAAUGUCCAUUUACUUAUACAUGCUUGUUAGUCAAUCCUUGAAAAUAUGCUUGUAGUUUUUUUCUUGUCUAGUUUGAAGAAGAUAAUGGAACAGAUGAAUCAAACAAUGUGCAAACGGAAAAUCACUGUACCCUCUGUGAACUUUAAACAUAAUAUCAAAAGUGAAUGUGCAAAUAUUACAGGUUGCAGGCAUGUUUAUUUUGAACAUAUUGCAAUUAUCGUUGUUGAUUUCUUCUUCCUUAUUCGUAUCCGACCUUCCAGAAUCACACCCAAGACCGCUGUUGUUAUCCUGGGUUGCUGCUUUACUGCCUUCAAUUCCUCAGCUGUUGUUUUGCUGUUUGAUGUUAUCACAGCUUUUGCACCAGUAUGUAUUAUCUUUGGAUUUUACUCAAUCUGGUAAGGUUAUGAUCAGUUGCUAUAUUUGGUAUCAGGUUUGGUCAUUUGUAUAUAAAUUAUAUUUGCUAUGCAUAUAAAGAUUCAAUUCCUAAUAUUUGUAUCAAGAUAUUAAUAACCAACAAGUAUGUCGACUUAUAAAUACACAAUUAGCUAGCUUCUUUUUCUUCUUUGAGAUAAGUGAAGAAACUUCAUUAAUAGCAUAACAUCGGCAAAUCAAAGUAAGUUAUUUACACGUUUUUUUUUUUUCUAGUUUGUUUUUGGUUUUUAAUUUUUUUAAUGAAAUCUUUAAUUUUCCUUCGAACUUCAAUAUCUAAUGUAAUUAAGCUCUUGAUAUGACCAAAUUAACUCUUAUAAAUUGCAAUUCAAUUCCUAAACUUUAAUUUUUUUCAAUUAAAAUCUAAAUUUCCUUAAAAAAUUAUUUUUUUCUUGUAAUUAAAACCUCUAUAAAUUCAAUUAAACCUUCAACUAAAUCUAAUUGAGUCCUUAAACAUCCAAUUUUAAAUUUCUCUUUCUCAAAUUGAAUUUUCUUUGCCGAUAAGGUCUUCAUCAAUUAAAAAUAUAUGGUAAAUUUCAAUCUUUGUAUUUUUUUUUUUAUCUUUCUCAACUUAGUUUUGGCUAUUUUUGGGGCGUUUUGAUAUACUUUUCCCACUUAUAUAUUUUUUUUCGUUUUCUUACAAUAAUUUUUAAAUUUUUUUGUAUUUUUUCUCUUUUUUUUCUUUUUGUGUGGGGACCCAAUAAAAUAGGUAAAAACAAAGAUAUUAAUAAACCAACAAUGCAUUAAAGUAUGUCGACUUCUCAAAAAAAUAAAAGUAAAAAACCCUUAUAAAUACACAAUUAGCUAGUUUUUUUUCUUUUAGAUAAAUGAAGAAACUUUAUUAAUAGCAUAACAUUGGCAAAUCAAAGCUAGCAAGGUGAAGAAUUAAUGGGUACAAAUGCCAAAAAGCAUGGGAAAAGAAAACAUGGCAAUAGUAAGUAACCUAAACCAACGAAGGACACGUAAAUAAUUACCAUGGAUAAAUUAAGUAGCUAUGCCUUCAAACUAAUAGAAGGAUAAACGAUUACUCACUGACGUAGCGGAAGCUUCUGUGGAAAUAGGUUGCUACCUGUUUCCGGGAACAAAGUGUUCGAAUCCACGAACCAAGAAAGUUUCACUCGAAUCUACGAGUUUAGCACUUAUAAUUCUCAAAGAGAAAGUUUUGUAUUAAAUUCAAAAGUGCCUUACAAUAAAAAGUGGCAGCCUUUAUAUAGGCUGCAAGUUUUAAUUCGACUAGGACUAUAAUUGUUUAGGAAAGAAAUAACUGGAAUAAAGAAAACAAAUACUAUAGCUAGGAAAGUAAAUAAUUCCUGAUGUUACGACAUUAAUGAGGACUCCUAACUAAGGUGGUAAUCUGCUAGAAGAAUACUCCAAUGAUAACUGCAAUUCCUGAUUUCUCUGCAUUUAUAUUAUGCCCUGCAAUCUGCUGUCUCCUGCGAUAUGCUCUUCCUCUCCUUUUAUAGACUGUUCUACAUCAGUCUCCCUUGCAUAAAAAGAACUCGACCCCGAGUGAGGUAAAUGAGAAGGUGCCAUAUCCGGAGGAUGAUACUCGUACAAAUCUGCCACGUUGAAAGUAGGGGAAAUGGCCAUUUCUGCUGGAAGGUUGACAACAUAGGCGUUGUCAUUAAUCUUCUGAAGGAUCUGGAAAGGUCCAUACUUCUUGUCCUGCAGCUUGUUGUAUCUUCCUACAGGUAGGCGUCCUUUGCGCAAAUAGACCAUCACAAGGUCUCCUUCUUGAAAGGUUUGGACCCUCCGUUUUUUAUCUGCUGCAGCUUUGUACUUGGCAUUAGAAGCCUCUAAGUUUUGUCGCACUUCUUCUUGAAUGGACUUUAUACGGUCUGCCAUAUGUUCUGCUGCAAUGCUUAAACCUGGAAGUUUUGGUAGAGGAACUAAGUCCAACGCAUGGCGUGGUGGAGAACAAUAAACAAUCUGAAAGGGUGUUUUUCCAGUGGACCGGUUGAGCAUACUGUUAUAAGCAAACUCAGCUUGUGCCAACAUAACAUCCCAUUGUUUUGGUUUUGUUCCAGAGAGGCAGCGAAUCAGAUUCCCAAGAGUGCGGUUUACUACCUCUGUCUGGCCAUCAGACUGAGGAUGGCUGGUACUGCUAAAAUUUAGAGACGUGUCAAACCGUCGCCAUAACGUUCGCCAAAAAUGACUCAAGAACUUUGUGUCUCUGUCUGAAGUGAUGGACUUGGGAACCCCAUGCAGACGCACCACCUCCUUGAAAAAUAAAUUUGCUACGUGCACGGCAUCGGCAGUCUUCUUACAAGCAAUAAAAUGAGCCAUCUUGGAAUACCUGUCGACCACCACAAACACUGAAUCAUAUCCGCGUUGGGUUCGCGGUAGGCCUAAGAUAAAAUCCAUCGAAAGAUCCUCCCAAGGUGCUGCUGGGAUAGGCAAUGGCAUAUACAAACCGGUAUUUUGGGACUGUCCCUUAGCAGCCUGACAUAUGGGACACCGUUUAACAUAGUUGCCGAUGUCUCUUUUUAAUUGGGGCCAAUAAUAUCUCUCUUCAGCAAGGGCUAUGGUUUUGUCACGCCCCAAGUGUCCCCCCAAACCUCCACUGUGCAAGUCAUGAAUUAUUUGAGCUCGUAGUGAGCUCCUGGGUAUGCAUAAUCGUUACCAUGGAAUAAGUAGUCUUCCUGGAUAUGCAGGUUCUCUACAGGAAGCCCGGCUUGGCACUUUGCCCAACUAGCUUGAAAAUCUUCAUCUCCAGCGUACAGUUCUUUGAGGCAAUCAAACCCAAUGACUUCAUUUUGGAGAGUGACCAGUAGCAAUGUCCUUCGGCUGAGAGCAUCAGCUGCUCGGUUUAGUCGUCCAGCCUUAUGUUGCAGUGUGAAUGUGAAGCGUUGAAUGAAGGAAAUCCAACGGGCAUGCAUUCUGUUAACACUAUUCUGACUGUGAAGAAACCUUAGUGCCUGAUGGUCGCUGAAUAAAACAAAGUCGCGGGCUACUAGGUAGUGCUCCCAAACUUUUAAGGCUCGAAAGACAGCAUAUAAUUCCAGCUCAUAGGUGGACCACUUCUAGCGAGCUUCACUGAGUUUUUCACUGUAGAAAGCGACAGGUUGCCUUCUUGAGACAACACACCAAUACCCACGAUGGAGGCAUCACACUCUACUUGAAAUAAUUUAUCAAAAUUUGGGAGUGCCAGUGCUGGGGCCGAUGAAAGUUUUUCUUUGAUAAGUUUGAAGCUCUGCUCUGCUGCGUCUCCCAAUAGAAUUUCCCUUCUUCAUGCACUCAGUAAUGGGUGCGACUAUUCGGCUAAAAUCUCUAACAAAUCGUCUGUAAAACGUUGCUAGUCCAUGAAAACUACGGACCUCGCCUACUGUUCGCGGAGUCGGCCAAUCACGAAUGGCGCCAAUCUUUUCUUCAUCCACUUUAAUUCCGUCAGCACUUAUUAUAAACCUCAAGAAUAGCAAGCUACUGGUCAUAAAACUGCACUUUUUCAAAUUAACGUACAACUUAUUUUGUUGCAGAAUUUUGAGUACUUCUCUCAAAUGCUCAACAUGGUCAGCUUGGGUUUGGCUGUAGAUUAAUAUAUCAUCGAAGUAUACCACCACAAAUUUUCCCGUGAUCGGCUUCAAUACCUGGUUCAUAAACCGCAUGAAAGUACUGGGUGCAUUGGUUAACCCGAAUGGCAUUACUAGCCACUCAUAUAAGCCCUCCUUUGUUUUAAAAGCAGUCUUCCACUCGUCUCCUGGUCUGAUCCGAAUCUGAUGGUACCCGCUUCGCAAAUCGAGUUUUGAAAAGACCUUGGACCCGGACAACAUGUCCAACAUAUCUUCUAAACGAGGGAUAGGGAAUCUGUAUUUAAUUGUGAUCUUGUUGAUUGCUCUGCUGUCGAUACACAUGCGCCAACUACCAUCCUUCUUUGGCACUAACAAAGCUGGUACUGCACAAGGGCUCAUGCUCUCCUGCACUAAGCCCUUCUCGAUAGUUCUUCUACCUGUGCUUGCAGAGUCUGACUUUCUUUAGGAUUCAUCCGGUAGUGGGGACGAUUUGGCAAACUCGCUCCUGGCGUGAAAUCGAUCUGAUGUUGUAUGUCUCGUACAGGAGGUAAUCCAUUAGGUAGGUCUAACGGCAUCACCUCCUGAAAUUCCUCCAGCAAUGGUAGUAGUGUGGGUGGAAUGUCAACAGAAUCCCUGCCAACUUCUCCUCUUAAUACUACAAAAAAAUCUCUCUGGCCGCCUUAGUCUCCUCCAUGAAUUUGCCCCCAUCCACUAGCAAUACUGGCUUUCCUUGUGGCUUCGGUUUGAUGCUGGAAAAAUCUUCUUUGAUAGGACCAGAACGACCUUCAGGCCCCCCUUUACGAAGACGUAAACAUUGUCACGACCCCUGUAAGUGGCAUCUACAUCAUACUGCCAGGGACGUCCAAGUAUUACAUGGCAAGCAUCCAUUUCCACUACGUCACAUGUAACCUCAUCUGCAUAAUUCUUCCCAAUUGAGAAUUUAAUGUGGCAGACUUCAGUCACUUUGACUUCAGCGCCACGUUUGAUCCAGCCUAUUUUAUACGGUGCAGGAUGCUUCCUAGUUUGCAAUCCCAGUUUAGUAACCAUUGCUUUUGACACUAUAUUCUCGCUACUGCCACUGUCAAUGAUAAUAUCACAGACCCUUUUGUUCACAGUGCACCUAGUUCUGAAUAUAUUAUGCCGCUGGGAGGGUUCUUCUCGUUUUGGUGUCAACAGUAGUCGUUGAACUACAAGAGACCGUGACAAUAGCUCUCCCUCGUCACCCCCUGUUACUUCUUCCUCCUCAUACGUAUAGGCUGCUCCGUUUUCAUCUUUCUCAGUGUCGAAGGGGUACUCUUCUUCUGGCUCUAUUAGGUGCACAUUACUCCUUCUUGGGCACUGGUUGGAACGGUGUCCUGGCUGUCCACAUCUAUAACAUUUAUCCGAACUGGGACGGGCAUAAGGAUUCCUGGGCGUUACCUCGGGUGGAAUGGUGUUAGCAGACUUUGUUGGUGCUCCACUGCUGCUUGUUCCUCGUACAAUGUUAGAGAAGGAGUGUUGAGUUGUUGAAGUCAGUGGGGUCAUUGGAGUCUUCCCUUUAUUGCUGGUUGCUCUAUUAUGAUCGAAUGGAUUCCUGGCCCCACCCAUUGCUUUUGAUUUGUCUAAUUGGGUCUCUGCUUUGAUAGCCAGUGCCACGGCUUCUGUUAGGGUGUAAAUUGUUUGCAUUGCCACACGAUCCUGUAUGGCCCAACGCAGACCUCCCACAAACCUGGCAACUUGUUGUGCCUCUGUUUCCAGCAGGUUAUUUCGUGAUGAUAGCCUAUGAAAUUCUUCUAGGAAAGCUUCCACGGUUCUAGUUCCUUGCCUACAUUCCUGAUAUUGUUUAAACAAAAUUUGCUCGUAGUCUGGUGGUAGAUAACGAGAACGUAACAAUCGUUUCAUUUUAUUCCAUGUUUGAACCAUCCCCUUCCCUUGUCGCAGUCGGGUGCUUUGUAGUUGCUCCCACCAGGCAGAAGCUCCCCCCAAGAGUCUAUAUGCGACUAACUUCACCUUUUUAUCUUCAGGAAUGUCCAUGUAAUCGAAGAACCUCUCAACUAGUACCAGCCAAUCAAGGAACCCUUCAAUCUGCAGUUGUCCGUUAAAACUGGGUAGAUCCAUCUUCAUUCGAAACAUCUGUCGGUCUAGUUCCCUUUGAUACCCUCUCCGGUUUCCCCGGAGUAUAGCUUCAGCUUCUUCCUCAUCCUCACUUAGGUUGUCCUCAUAGAUUGGUUGCCUUCGUAGGAUUCCUGGAGGGCGUUCACUAGUUGCAGCCCUUUCUCGGUGAUGUUGACGAACUGGAGAGUUGUUGAUCCCCUGAUUAUUCCCUGUUGUCAGCCUAGCAAGGGCUGUUUGGAUAUCACGUAGGGUUUGUUGUGUCUCAUGCUGGAAAAUUCUGAAUUCAGCUCCUGUAACCAAAUUAUCCUCGCGGUCACCGCCGCCAAGGUUUUCGCUUUCGUUGCGUAGGUUUGCCAUCUGACAGGAUUAUGCCUGCUCUGAUACCAACUGACGUAGCGGAAGCUUCUGUGGAAAUAGGUUGCUACCUGUUUCCGGGAACAAAGUGUUCGAAUCCACGAACCAAGAAAGUUUCACUCGAAUCCACGAGUUUAGCACUUAUAAUUCUCAAAGAGAAAGUUUUGUAUUAAAUUCAAAAAUGCCUUACAAUAAAACGUGGCAGCCUUUAUAUAGGCUGCAAGUUUUAAUUCGACUAGGACUAUAAUUGUUUAGGAAAGAAAUAACUGGAAUAAAGAAAACAAAUACUACAGCUAGGAAAGUAAAUAAUUCCUGAUGUUACGACAUUAAUGAGGACUCCUAACUAAGGUGGUAAUCUGCUAGAAGAAUACUCCAAUGAUAACUGCAAUUCCUGAUUUCUCUGCAUUUAUAUUAUGCCCUGCAAUCUGCUGUCUCCUGCGAUAUGCUCUUCCUCUCCUUUUAUAGACUGUUCUACAUCACUCACUCAUCAUACGAUUAGGUCAAGUCACCUCUCCUAACUCCUCCCCCCAUCAAACUUCGUUGCUGCAGGUUCACCGAUUUUGCAAGUACCAUCUUUGGGGUCAUAUUUGCAUGGAGCCCUAGGAGCAGUUAGGUAAGAACAUGAUAACAAAAUAAUGGUAACAAGGAGUAUUAUUGUCAAGUAUCGAGUCUUUCCUUGAGACCCCAUUUUUUACACGAAAGAAACCUGAGAUUUUUAGGGAAUCAAAUGUAUGUGUAGAGAGCGAGCUAGUCUGCGAGAUGGGUGAUUGUAGAGAUGGAGAGGGUUAGCUAGCUAAUAUAUGAGACACGAUAUGUUGAAUUGGAAAAGUAUUCAGCAUUUAAAUUGAUUUCAAAAACUAUUCCAAUAUGUUGAAUUGGAAAACUAUACUUUCCUCGAAAUUGUUUCUUAUUAUUUUCUUCGAAGCAGUUGUGACUUGUGACAUAGGUUGAAAUUAACAUUAAACGGGAGUAAUGUGGAUCAUGUCCAGGUUGUUUUAGUAGUCAAAUAAAUAAAAUUUCUAUGAUAUUUGUGUUUUUAAUCUUCUGGCGUGGCCCUUUAGAAACAAACAGUCAAAACCUGUUUAAGUGCCUGUUUUGUUCAAGCAACUUGUACUGUAAAUAAAUGUUAUGCAAAAACUAAGCACUCUCAACUUUUACUUGAUCUUUUUUUUUUUUCUGCGGUAUGAUGGGAUUGAAGAUUACACAAUAUUGCCCUACUCUAAUAUAUAUAUUUAUCUAGUAAUGCAAAAAUAAACAUUGAAAUAAGCUCUUCAGUUGAUUUUAUAAACUGCAAAUUUGAGGUCUUGGGCUCUUCGCAGCCGAGAAAAAGUCAUUCAUGGCUGAGGUAAAAAUAAUUUCUUCUUCUUUUGAUUUUUUUAUGAAUGAAAGAUUAUAUUGGAAAGAAAAAAACAGGAAACAAGCCAUACUAUACAAAUUAACUGAACUUCCACCAGCAACAAAAUUCACUAAAAAAAGAUUGUUUUGACAUUAUUAAAGAGUAACGGUGACGAAACAUAUAUUCCUCUUAUCUCAAGCCCUUAACAUUUACUUCUAACAUUAUUAAAGAGUAAUGUCAUGAUUUGAAGGAGCCAAAUUAUUCAGCGCGUAGACAUUAAUUUUCCCAAUGAGAAAAUAUUAUUGUCUUAUCAACUUUAAAUAUUGCAUGCAUAUGCAAGUGGUUGAUGUAAAAUAAGUGCUGGAAAUUUGAUACAUGAAGGAUAUGGUCACAGAGUCGUUCUUCCAGCGACCUAGAAAAAUAUUUCCAAAAUCCAUAUACCUGAGAAACUAUCGUAAAAUAUAAGACAUCAAAACAGUACAAAAGAUCCUGAGUAAAAAUUGACAAAAGAUAAUUAAAAGACUGAUUGGAUUGAAAAUUAAAAAAGCAUGGCGAAAAUAAGAAGGUGGAAAAAUACUUUUGAAAUAAUAAAAAAGCAUUAAUGGAAGAGAGGUUUGAUUUAUUCGUUGUGGAAUUUAAGAGUCGGUCUUGACUUGGAAAAUGAAUGAUGAUUCGGAUACAACAUGAACACGCGUGUCUUGACUUUGAAAAUGAAUGGUUAUUACUUGUGAGCACGCAAAACUGUGACUUUUUCGUCCAUUUGCCGAGUCCAAUGAAUUAAAAUAACAAAUGAGUAAAAUGAUCGGAUCCUUAGUUACUAUUUGUUUGCUGGAAAAUAGUAUUUUUUUUUUUUAAAUGAAUUUUAAAAAAGUAUUUUCGAUGUUUGAUAGUGUAAUAAAAAAUAAGUUGGAAAACACUUUCCUGUUUGGUUAUAUCAUUUAAAAUGAGCUGGAAAAUAUCUUAUUAAUAUUUUAUUUUUCUUAAGUUUAUUAAAAUAAUGAGGAACAAAUCUUACAAAUUAAAAAGUUGAAUGGGAAUGAAAUUGAAAAAAUAAUAUAAUUUCAUAAAUUAUCUUAAAUAAAAUAAAUAAUAAUCAAAAUAAUAGAGAUCAAAUCUAAAAAAUUAAAAAAUUAAAAAUGAAAGAUGAAGAAAUUAAAAUAAUAAUAAUCAACAUUUCAUAAAUUAUUUCAAAUAAAAUAAGUAACAAUCAAAAGAAUGAGGACCAAAUUUGAUAGAUAAAAAAUUUCAAUAAAAAAAUGAUAAGGAAAAAGCAAAUAGCAAUUAUAAAAAUAAGGACCAAAGUUAAUAUAAAAAUAAAAUUUUAAGAGAUGAAAUUGAAAAAUAAAUAUUCAAAACAAAAUAUAUAUAGCAAUCAAAAUUUGAUCGAAAGUGUUUUCCUUUGAUCGAAAAGUGUUUUCCGUUGACCCACUUUCCUAAUGACAAACAAACACAGAAAAGUUUGGAAAAUGAUUUUCCGGAAACUACUUUUCGGGAAACAAACAUGGCCUUAGUGUCGCACAUGAAACAUGUUGCGACGGGCAAUCUCUUAGUAUCUAGAAAUCCAAAAAUAAAAAGGAUAAGAAAUUCUUGUUUUUUAUAUGUUUUUCUAAUAUUUUUAAAAAAUUUAGGUAUUUUAAUAUCAAAUUUGUAUCUUUACAGUAUAAAAAUAAAACCAAUAUCAAUCAAAAUUGGUAUAAAAAUAUGAGAGAAAAUCACAAAUUAUUUUAAAGGAUUUUUAGAAUUUUUUGUUUUUAUUUUCAAAUAAUAUUAUAUUAUAUUAUAAUAUUUUGAGAUGCACUCAACCCAAUUAUAUAGGCAGAGAACAUCUUAUCUGAGAUGAGAUUAGCCCAAAAUAAAUUGGGUCAAAGUCGGCCAAAAAGAGUUGGGCCAACACCAGCCUAAAAUAGAGGUUGGGUUGAUGUUGGCCCAACAAAACUUCUUUUCUAUUUAUGGGAUUGGACCGAACUUGACCCAACCAUUUUGGUCUGGAUCAGAACUAGUCCGACCUAGUAAACAAUGAAGAGAUUCUCCAAUGUUCUGCAAGUGAAUAGUAGAGAGUGAAUUGAAGAAUAGUAGAAUAGUAGAGGGUGACUGAAGGAGAAGAAGAAAAAGGAGAAGGAGGAGAGAUUGACCUGGCGGUGGCUUCACGGUGGUGCUAAUGAUGGUGACGAGGAAAGCAGGCGAUAGUGGGGAGAAAAAACAAUGGUUGCUGUUGUGGUUUUUUCUUCUCUGUACAGGGGCAUGAAAUUCCUCUUUCCUUUUUUUUUUAUCUUUUUUUGUUCUCUCUCAUUAUCUUCUCUCGUUCUUGUCUCUCUUGUUCUUUCUUUUUUUCUAUGUUUUUUUGUUUUUAUUUCUCCUUUUUUCUUCCUUUGUUCUCCCCUGUUUCUUUUUGUUUCUCUUCUGUUUUUUGCUCUCUUACCUCCCUUUUUCAUCUCUUUAUCUCUCUGUUUUUGUCUCUCGUCCCCUAGUAUUUAUAAGAGGGAAAGAGAGGAGAGAGAGCUAUUACACAUGUCCAGUCAUGGUGUAGGGGUAUGGUGGUUGGGGCAGUCUGUGCAGCCAUCCCAAAGCCAACCGCAGGGCUUGUCCCCUCUACCUCUUUCAUCAUGUUGAUAGGCCAUGAAGGGGUGUGGGUGGUGUCGUGGUUUUUGGGAAAAGGGGAGGGAGAGAGUGAGAGAUAGACGCUGCAAAUGAAUGGAAGAAAAACCUUCUUCCCCUGCCUUUAUGCGUUUGGGGAAGAAGAAGAUACACAGUGCUGUUUAACACAACACCGUUUUAAGCUUCGCUUUUUUAUGUUUGAACAGUGAAUGAAAUGGGGUCAAUUCAUUUAAAUUAAAAUAGCGCCCAAAAAAUGUUAAUUUUUAAAUCAAUCUUUAAUUAUUUUUUUUUAUCCAAUCAAGUCCUCAAUUGCAAUUUUGAUUUUAAGAAUAAAUUUAAUUUCAUCCCUAUCAAAUUCAAAUGCCAGCCCUAAUGUUGGAUGUCUUUUUCACUUUAGUCCUUAGUUUUGAAUUUAUGCAUUUUGACCCUUAAUUGAUCAACAAACUUUCAAUUUUUUCAAUUUAGCCCCUGAUUUGACCAAAUUAACUCUUAAAAAUUAUAAUUUAACCCCAUACUUUAAUUUUUUUUCCAAUUAAAGUCAAAAUUGACUUAAAAAUGAAUUCUUCUUGCAAUCAAACCCUUUACAAACCCAAUUAAUCUUUCAACAAAAUCUAAUUGAGUCCUUAAACAUCUAAUUUUGGAUUUUUCUUCAUCAAAUUGAAUUUUCUUUUUCAAUAUAGCAUUUAACAAUAAAAAAUAUAUUGUAAAAUUUCAAUCUUUGUAUUUUUGAACUUUCUCAACCAAUCUUUAGCCAUUUUCUGGGCGCCCUUAUAUCUUCUUCUCACUACUAUCUAUAUUUUGGUUUUCUUCUAAUAUAUAUAUUUUUUAUUUUUCUCUCUUUUUAUGUGGGAACCCAAAAAUAAAUAAUAACAAGUAGUUUGUAGUGUAUAUAGAUAAAUGCUAGAGUAAAAUGGAAUUGUUGUAACCCAUUUUUGGGUCCCCAUGAAAAAUAAAAUAAAUAGCCAAAAGAGGUUAGAAAAAUAACAGGAGGCAGAAACGCUCGGAAAAUAGUCAGAAAAUUGGUCAAGGAAUUUAAAAAUACAAGGAUUGAAUUUUUGACAGUAUAUUCUUGGAGGAUGAAAGCCCUAUUGAGAAGGAAAAUUUGAAUUUUGAGGAGAAAAGCCCAAAUUUGGAUUUUAUUGGACUUAAUGGAUUUUUAUGGACUUAAUUGGAUUUUUAUUUGAAUUUAUAGAAGAUUUGAUUGCGAAAAAAAUUGAUUUUUUAAGUCAAUUUGGGCUUUAAUUGGAGAAAUUUAAGUUCUGGGGCCAAAAUAUAUUUUUUAGGAAUUUAUUGGGUCAAAUCAGGGGCUCAAUUGCAUAAAUAUUGAAGUUUAAGGGCCAAUUAGGGACUUAAUUGUGAAAAUCCGAAACCAGGGACCAAUUUGGAGAAGGCGCAAAGAUAGAGGGGGCUGUUUGGAAUUGUUUCAGGGGCUUAAUUGAAGAAAUUGGAAGUUUAUUGAUCAAUUAGGGGCUCAAUUGCAUAAAUCAGAGGCCAAGGACCAAAGUGAAAAAGGCGGCCAACAAGAAGGGCGGGGACCGAAUUUGGAGGACUGAUUUGAAGUUUGGCCAUUUAAAUGAAACGGCGCGUUUUAUUCAAAACGACGCCGUUUCAUAUACAAAAAAAAAAAAAAGGAAAGCAGAACGGUGUCGUUUUGAACGACACUGUUCAUCAUCUCCUUCCCCCCGUUUUAGCAGAACAGAAGACAAAAAUUUUGAAAAAAAACUCCCGCGUCUCUCUCUCUCGCCCCCACCACCACCAGAAAGAACCGACCAGCCAUGCGUGAUUGAAGGCGCACUAACCAUGGUCCCCCACCCGUGCUGCCCCUAUAAAUAAAGAAGAAAAACCGAAGAAAAGAAGGAGGAGAGACCCGAAGAGAGAAGGAGAGAGAACGACCCGAAGAGAGAGAGAAGAACAGAAACAAACCGAGAAGAAGGAAACCGAAACCAAAAAACCAAAACCAAACCGAGAACCGACAGCCACUGAGAAAAAAAAACGAAGGAGAAGGGAGGAAGAAGAAUUUUUCGCCACUGAAACAGCAGCAACGCCGCCCGGAGCCGCCGUCCACGAAGCCACGCCACCGUAGCCCCGCCAGCAAACCACCGUCUCCAGCCUCGCCAGGUAAGCUCUUCCCCCUGCAUUGUUUUUUUUUCUUCUCUUCGUCUUCUGUAAUUUUCGUCUCCUGCAUGCAGAAUUGUUCUGCAUGCAGGGGACGGGGGGGAAAUUAAUUCCCCCCGUAUGUUUUAUCUUCUGGGCCAGACCGGUUCUGGCCCAGAAACAUGUAUUGGGCCAGAAGGAUUCUGGCCCAACCCGGCGGUCUGGGCCGCGUCCGGCCCAGACCAAGUUGUUUUUUUUCCUGGGCCGAGAUCGGCCCAGUCACUGUGGGGCUGAGCCCGGCCCCUUAAUAAUUAAUAUAUAAUUAUAUUAUAAUAUUAUAUAUAUAUAUAUAUAUAUAUGUGUAUAUGUUAUAUAUAUAUAAAAUAUUUGUAAAAAAUCUAAAAAAAUCUAAAAAAAAUAUUGUUAUUUUCCUUUCAUGUAUAUAUAUUUUUAAGGGGGUUUGUAUUUUUUUUUAUAUACUGUGGAGGUAUAAAUUCAGUAUUUAAAAUAUCUGAUUUUCGUCGUAGCACCCGAAAUUUUCCAAAGAUAAUUUUUUUUUUUGCUUUCAAAAAUUUCUAAAAUUCCUAAAAAAUAUUGUGGAUUUUUCCGCAUUUUUUUUUUGACUUAAUAUUAGUUUGUAUUUUUAUUUUGUGGAGAUACAAAUUCAGUAUUAAAAAUACCUGAUUUCGUCAAAAAAAAAAUAUUGUUUUAAAAAAAAAAUAUUUUUCUUUCGUGUUGCAUACGGCCAAUACUCUAACAUGUUUUGAAUAUUCUUUUUUAUAAAACAAAUAUAUUGGAAGCUUCGAAAGUGUGUUUUCGCAUAGAUUUCUUAAACACAAAUUAUUUUCUUGCAUUUCUGGAUUUUACAACGUGUUUGUAAAAUUCCAAAGGGUAUUGGCCAAUAUUCAAAAAACUAUAAAAAUCUUAUUUUGGGAAAAGGAAUUUAUUUAUUAUUUACCGCUAAUGUUUGGAUAAAGAAAUCCUUAAAAGGAUGAAUAUCCAAAAUAUUAUCGGGAAUAAUAAAUCCGCACACAAUUCUUGAAAGAAGCCUUGAUUAUAAUCGAGGACAUUUCAAAAUUAAUUUAAUUUUUUUUUUUCUCCACGAUUUAUGAGUCGCAAACUUUUGAAAUACUAAGGGAAAAAUGAGCUUUCAAAGCACAUGGAAUCUCCUUAGAUUUCUAUCCAAAAUCAAUUGACGAGCCUAGAAAAUACCUACACCAUAGCAGUUAUAGAGCAAACCAAACACCAAGCAGCUUACCUUAGGUAGGGCGUACUAGGGGUGCUAAUACCUUCCCUUUACGCAACCAGUCCCUUGCCUUAGAAUCUCUGAAAGACCAGUUAGGGUUCCUAGUGACCAAAAUACUAGGUGGCGACUCCCAAAGAACCAAAUCAACAAAACAAAACAAAACGAAAGUCGCCAGUCGAAUGUCGCAAAACAAAUUUUAAAAUAAACCAAAUUUUAUUUGUUGAUUUUUUCGGGGGUGCGACAGGAAUGAUGGUAUCUAUCAUGUUAUGAUUUAUUUUCUAUUUUGUUAUCAAGAAUGAUUGAUAGGUUAGGGUGUGGGGGCAAUGCCUCCAUGAUACAGUAAAUGAGUAUUAUUAAAAAAACUAUAAUAUCUCUUAGGCAAUUAAACUUUUAGGCCGCAGUUAGACCCUUGAGCGGUUUAGAAUAUACUAUAAAUACACAUUAUGUAAUCCUAUUUGACAUAUAGUAAAAAUAAAAGCUCAUCACUCAUGCGGAUAUAAAAACAUUAUCAAACCACAUUAAAUCUUGUGUUCUUUCUAGUUUUUCUUCUUUUAUAAUAUUCAUCAAUAAUUGUUGUAGGUUUUUCACAAUAGAGGUCAUGUUUAAAGUAUAAGAAUGUGUGAAGGAACUACCAGUGAACUUUACAAGAACAAAAGGUGUAAUAUUUGAUAUAGAUCCUUCUUUAGCUUGCAUACACAAUUAAUUAGAAUUUGAAACUCUCGAGUCAUAGACAUUAUACUUAAGGAAUAUGCUUUAUAAAGCUAUAUUCAAAGUAUCUAUGUUUUUGAAAUUGAAGAGUUCAGUUUCUAACACUUAAAUCAAGAACAAUUUUUUUUAUAAGUAGAGAGGACUAAAGUAGGGCACUAUAUUCAUUAUCCUUAGCAUAAUUUGUUUUAUUUCUUUCAUUAUAAGAUUUUUUAGAUUUUAAGGAGUUUCGAAUGAGUCCAAUGGGCAAUCUAAUAAAAAUGGGUAUAACUUAUGUUCCGACUAUUGGGUUGAAUUGAAAUUUUCCUUAAAUGAUUAGUAAGACAACUUCAUUUGAAUUCAUGUACAUGCUAAAUUCAGUCUAAAAGUUACAGCUUAAUAUUGUUUUUAUUUUCCUUAUUGUUUUUGGAUUAUUCUUACUAUUUAGAUUAGGAUUUAAAAUUUAAUUAGGAUUUUACUAAUAAGCAUAUAUAAUUUUUUUUGUAUUUAAACUUUCUUGUAGGCUAUUUUUUAGGGAAGAAUUUAUUAUAUAAAGACUUUUAUAAAUAUAUUAAUUUUUUCUCUGCAACCUUUUCUAAGAGUUGUAACAUUAAGUUGUGAGCCCCCCAGUUUCUUUCUCUACAAUUUAAAACUGUCAAAUUUUACGGUUUGAGGAUCCUUAACACUAUACACCAUGUCAAUUGGUAUUAUAGAAGUCUACGGGAGGAGUCAAGUAGUAAAACGCUUUUUUUUAUUUUUAAUAUUCCACAAGAAUAAAAUCAUUAAUUAUGGAUAAUCAAUUAUCUAUAUUAUAAAAUUAUUAAUAUUUGUUAAAUAAUCAUUUCAAUCUAAAAAUAUAAAAAUAGUUUUCUAUUAAUUUUUUAGCAGACUUCUUCAAGUAAAAAUUUACAUAUCUUAUGGAUAUGUAUCUUAUAUUUAAUUUUUAAUUAAAUUAGAGAGAAUAAGGGCUAUCACUAUCUUGCUAAUAAUUUUUAAUCUAAUUAAAAAGAACAAGAGUGAUACAAAAUCUGAUUUGACCCAAAAUGUAAAAUCCAUAUAUAUUUUUUUUAAUUCCAAUGAUAAAAUAGUUCAAUCUAUCUCGCGGACCUCUCUCGUAAGAGGGGAUGUGUAGCCAUAUGUUUUAAAGGUAUGGGGGAAAAAGCAUUUUUUGCGUUUAAUUUCCUCUCCUACUACUCCUAUUUCUAUGCAUAGGCAUUCUGGGAUGCCCCAAACCGAAAUACAAAUCAAAUAUACGUGUUGGGUAUCUGCAAAAUGUUUAAAGAUUCAAUUCCUAAAUAUUUGUAUGCAGAUAUUAAUAACCAACCAUGCAUUGAAGUAUAAACCCUUCAUUAAUAGCAUGACUUCUCAAAAGACUAAAAGUGAAAAAACCCUUAUAAAUACACAAUUAGCUAGCUUUUUUUUUCUUUUAGACAAGUGAAGAAACUUUAUUAAUAGCAUAACAUUGGCAAAUCAAAGCAAGGGGAAGAAUUAAUGGGUACAAAUGCCAAAAAGCAUGGGGAAAGAAAACAUGGCAAUAGCUAGGAAGUAACCUAAACUAACCAGCGAAGGAAGGAGGACACAUAAAUAAUGACCAUGGAUAAAUUAAGCCUUCUUGGCUAAUACAAGGAUAAACGAUUACUGAUCAUUCAUCAUACGAUGGGAGCUGCAGCUGGUUCACCGAUGCGGCACAUACCAUCUAUGGGGUCAUAUAUGCAUGGAGCUGCUGGCCUCGCUAUCACAGUAAGGUUAGAGCAUGAUAGCAAAAUAAUGGUAACGAUUAGGAGUAGUAUUAUUGUCAAGUAUCGAGCCUUUCCUCGAGACCCCAUUCUUGACACGAAAGAAAGCUGAGACUCUUAGGGAAUCAAAUGUAUGUCUUGGUACGUAUGUGUAGAGAGCGAGCUAGUCUGCGAGACGGAGAGGGUUUGCUAGCUAGCUGAUAUAGGGGACACAAUGUGUGGAAUUGGAAAAGGUAUACGUACAGCAUUUAAAUUUGACUUUAGAGUUUCUUAUUAUUUUCUUCAAUAGAGUUAUGAUGACUUGUGGCAUAGGUUAAUUUGAAAUCAACAUUCAAAGGGAGUAAUUGUGGAUCAUGUCUAGCUAGGUUGUUUAAGUAGUCAAAUAAAUCAUAUUUUUAUUAUAUUUUUAUUUUUAAUUUUCUGGUUUGGCCCUGGCUCUUCAGAAACAAACAAUUCGGAAAACUAGAGAAGGUGAAACAUAAUAUAAAUAUGGCAUAUUAAUUUGUCGGUCGAUUGACUUUUUUUUAUUUUGUUAAUUUUAAUUACAAUAUAUUUUUUAAUUUUCUUGAGUUCUUUAUUUCCUUGACUUCUUCUUCCUUUUACUAAUUAAGAAAAAUCAACAACAUCUGGUCAAACAAUCUAAAUUGGUCAACGAAUGAAUUUUAUAAUGGGUUUAUAUAUUGUAUGCUUACAACAAUAAAAAUAUCAUGAGUGAACAUAAUAAUAACAUUAAGACUAUUAUUUAAACUACUUUGAACAACAAAGGUUCAAAGGAACGGAGUCAAUUUUAGAAUGGGCUAGGUUGAUGUUGGCGGCUAGCUAGGGUUUUAGGAAUGAAGAAGAUGAGAUGAUUUUUUUAUCAUUAUCAUUAUCAUUAUUAUCAUUAUUAUUAUUUUUACAGGUUCCCUCUCUCUUUUCAUUUUUUGUAGCAACUACAUGCGGUCGAAAGUCACUGAUAAUUACAUUAAUUACUAGUUAUAACUGAUUUUGAUAGAUAUAACAACAUUUAGAGUAAAAUGUCAUUGCAAAUACAUAUUGUAUUAUAAUGAAAUUUCAAACAUUUACAUUCAUAAUUAAUUAUAUAUUUGCACAUGCAUUUAUUUAAUUUAAAGGCACGUAGUUAUAUUAAUUUUAUAAGUAAUUAUGAUAGGAUUUUGUUGAUAGUGGAUCUAAAAGCAUUUGUCUCAUGUGCUGUUAAAUCUUAAUAACAUUUGAAACAAAAGAUCACUUAAUUUAUAUCCAAUAUCAGUCAAUAUAUACUACAAUAAAAUAAAUGUUCCUAUAAAUAACAAUCAUAAAAUACCAUUAUAAAGUAUAGUUAGUAUGUAUUUCAAACAAAUGAAAUUAAAAGUAAACAUAGUAAAAGCAUGUAAUCAUCACCAAACCAUGAAAACUAUAUGUAUAUAUAAACAAAACAAGAAAGUUUCGUUCUGUUUUCCCUCAUUUAUACUUCAUUAUUUAUUAUCCACGGUUUUGAUUAUUAACAAACAAUCAAAACCCAUCAAAUCAAACUUUAUUGUAAACAAAAUUAAACCCAUUUCUUUUAGCAAAGUCUAAUUCAAAAAAGUUUGGUUCUUUUACCCCUCAUUUAUACUCUAAGAAGAUUUAAAAAAAAUUAUCACUAAGAUAGUGUGUGGUUACUAUUCUAUAACAAAAGAAAUAAAAAAAACAAUGAGAACAUAAACAUUUUUUAUUGAAAAGAUAUAGAUAAAAGACAUAAUAAUAAAUUUAUCUCUAAAAAAUUUUAAACUUAAUUUUUAUAUUUUCAAAAUAAAAUGUAUAUAGAAAACAUGUUUUUAUAGAUAAUAUUUAUUAUUUUUAUCUUUAAAAUAUUCAUGUAAAAAAAAAUAAUUUCAAAAUUAUCCAAAGCAUAUAAAGAUAAAAGUGAUUUUUAUUAUAGUUUUAAAAUCUGAUUUGACACUCGACUUGAAACAAGACCAGAUCUUGGAUCGCGAGGGUCAAACUAAGUUAUUCUAACUAUUUUUAAAGGAUCAAAACAAUUUGAUCAUUUUGACCAAAAAAGUUUUUGUUUGAAAAAAAAGUCAAUAUGUUUUUAGCCAAAAAAUUUUAUAUAUUUAGGUGGACUUGGGUUUUUUAUCAUAUUAGAUCAGAUUAAUCAUUCCUCUAUUUUUUUAAAAACCUAAACUGGUCUCAACCUCGAGUUAGCCCGCCAGGUCAAUCCAAAUUUUAUAACUAGAGUCAUUAUACCAUUAUUAAUUUCAACACUUAAUAUAAAUUACAAUAAAAAAAUAUAAUUAUGUAUUUAAAUAUAUAAGUUUGAUAAUAAUAUAUGUUAAGAGUAAAAUACUUUUUUUCAUAUAUUAUUUUAUCUCAUUCAUUCACCAUGAAUCAAAUAUUAUACAAAAAUAUUUUAUAUUUCAUUACCAAAUAUAAUUUUAUCUUCAUCUUUUCUGUUCUAUCUUCUCUUUUUUAUUAUCUCAAUAUUCUUGCGUUCCAUGACAAUAUCUAUCAAUGAUAAUGAUAAAGAGAGAAUAAGAGGAGGACUUGAGGCACCAUUUGUUUCUACAACCCAGUUGUGUUUUUUUUAAAACAAAUUAAAAACAAUUCUUGAAAUGUUUUUUUAUAUUUUUAAAAUAUUAAUGUCAAAACUAAAAUUUAAAAAAUAAUAAUAUUAUUUUAAUAUAUUUUUAAAUAAAAAAAAACUUUGAAAAUCAAACAAUUUUCGUAAUACCAAACAUUAGCUCCGUAAGAGAAUUGUCCAUGGGGAUUUCAUUGAUUUUCAUUGUAUCACAAUCUCCCUUGGCCACAUGUACGCACGCCAGAGGCUAACCUCUUUUGGAGAUUGAGUAACUUGAGUUACGCCCGUUCUAUUUAUUUUUACAUUUUGAAAAUAUUUUAAAAAAAAAUUAAAAUUUUUUAUUUUUUUAAUUUAAAUUAUUAUUUUUUAUAUAUUUUAAUAUAAUAAUAUCAAAAAUAAUUUUUAAAAAAUAAAAAAUAUUAUUUUAAUAUAUUUUUAAAUAAAAAUUAUUUUAAAAAACAACACCAACCAAAACAUACAUGUGCUCUGUCUUCGCAGCUGCUUCGGCUAAUAGCAAAGAAGUGAAAGGACGUCGGAGGGAGCUGAUGUAAGAAAUGGAUUUUAUUUUCAAUAGGCCUUAUGGUUUCAGCGUUUGGACUUUGGUGAUUUUUCAUGGGCCUCCAUUGACUAAAUUUGGGCUCUUCUCCAAUUAGACCAAUGGUUUGAAUAACUGAAUCUAGAACUAGCAGGCCUUGGGCCUUGGCCACCAUAAUUUGUUGCACCAAGCAUGUCCCCUCAUUAUAUCAUCAUCUUUUCUAUUAAUAUUUUAAAAAAAAAAUUAUUAAGUAUUAAAUAAGUUAUUCAUAUCUUAAUUUAUACAUUUAAAAAAAUAUAUAACAUUUUUUUUUUCAUAUUUGAUCUCGAAAUGAUAGUAUGAUAAGCAAUCCAUUAAACUAUCUUAUUAUAUUAAGUUAGUGUGUUUUUGAAAGUUUUAAAAUACACUUGAGGAUAAAUAUGCAAUGCAAUAUAUUAUGUCCUUGUCAUGGAUUGAAUCGCUCCAUCUUCUCUAUGUAGUGUGUGUAUAUAUUUAUAAUUGUGUGUGUAAUUCAUUCGCAUGAAUUAUAUAAAAAGGAUAGAAAAUCAUAUUGCGUUUUGCAUCAAUUACAAAUUUAAAAUUAUUUAAUUAGUUAAUAUUUACAUGAAUUCUAUUGAAAUCUUAGAUUAAAAAAAAAACUGCAAUUUAUUUAUUAUUCUUAAAUCUAUUUUUCUAAACUACAACUAGGAUGGAAAGGAGGAAGCUAGCUCAAGCAUAACUUCAAUUUGUCAUCACCCACAACACCCAAAAAAUCUGGACACGAAUAAAAAUCUUUUGUGACGACUUGACCACCUUAGCAGCUUUCUGAAAACCUAUGAGGCACUGAUUAAAGAUAAGAAGCAGCACUACUCUUGUUAAUUAUUAAUUAUACUCUUCCAGACAUCCUUGUCAAUGUCAUGCUAGUCAUCGUCUUGCUCCUUAAUUUCCUUUCUGGCUGACACGUGACUUGUAGACCAACGACUGUGUGAAAGCCAACUGUCUUUAAAUCAUUGGCUAAAUUUCUUCUGCAAAGGAGGAAGUCUGCUAAUUAAGGACAGGCACUUAAAUUGAUGCCACGUAUAAUUCAUCAAAAAUCUAUUCCAUGUAUACAUAUCAUCGCUGUGCUUUGCUUCCCAUAUCUCACCAUUGAAGACUGUACUAAGCAUUCCAAGCUUUUCUUGUUGAUAUCAUCAUUCAUGGAUAACAGCGGAAUAAAUGAAAUGAUGUAGAAAGAAUAAAUAAAAAAUGAAUGGCGUACUGUAUUAUACAAUUUCACUUUCAACACCACAUUAUAGUUUUCUACUUCAUGACAUAACGAUCCUAUACGAUGAGUUUGCGUUGUGAAAUGUCCAUUUGACAAACACGAGAUCAGGCGUGCGCGUGCGCGUGCGUGUGUUGUAGCAUGAGAUGUUUUUGGAUGGGUUUUCACACAUAGCAAGGUUUAUCAAUUUCAUUUCAUUCCGUUUGAAAUUGUCAAAAACAUGUUAUAUUAAUUUUAAAAAAAAAAUGAAAUAAUUUUUAUUUCAUUUUAAAUUUCAGUCCGUUUCAGAUUUUUCGAUUAAAUUUCAGCCUAAAUAUUCCUGUUUCAUUUCACAUGUUCAGUUCCAGACUCAAAAAGUCAUUGAAUCAAAUUGAACACAGUUCAAUUUAAUUAAUUAAACCACCCAAGUAUAAAAGGUUCUUUUUAAAAUAAUAUUGAAAAUUAUUAGUAUUAUUUUAAUUAACAAUGAUAUUAAUUUUUUAAAAUUAAAUUUAUCACUAAUAUAUAUGGUUUAUUUUCAUAUUGUUUUUUUCAUGUCUAUACUUUGUAGGAAUUUGAACAAAACAAGAAAUGUUUUAGAUUUCAUUAGCUUUGAUAAUAUUGACCUAGUUUUAUAUUUAAAAUAUUCGUGUUAAAAUAUUUUACUUUCAUAAUAUUUUGAUAUUUUAUUUAAGUUGAAUUACUGUAAGUUAAAGAUCUAUUUAAUCAUGACUAUUUAGAAAAUAUUUUAAAUUUUAAAAUUAUAUUUAUUUGAUAUUAUGUUUGUAUUAUAUAAUUUAUAAUUAAUUUAUCUUAAAUUUGAAUUAUAUUUGUUGAAUUAUAUAUAUAUAUAUAAACAAAACAACUCUGAAACUAAAAUAUUCUAAAAUUAAAAUAUUUUAUUUUAAUUAAAAAAAUAAAACAUCUAUUAAAAUAGAAUUGAUAACCUUGACACAUAGUGACCGGAUUUUCCAUGAUCCUUUAAUAAUUUCUUUAUUUCUCUAUAUAUAUUUAUUUCAAGCCACCCGAAGUGGGGAAGUCCACUUCCAUAUUCAAUAAAUUAAAGGAUAUUUUGAUGCUCCCAAGAAGAUUCCUGCUAUCCUAUUUCUCCUUGUACAAGACAAAGAGGGAUCUAUUCAUGAGGACAAUUGCUUGAAUCUUCAACCACAUGAAAGUCCAAACUUUACGAAUUAAUCCUAUUUCUAUCAAUAUAUUUAAGAAGAAUCAAAUCAAUAAUUAAAAGAAUAAUAUAUAGUUUUUUAAUACAUGAAAUCGAUACAAAGAGUGUAUCGAUUUCAAGAUCCAAUAAAUAAAGAUCAAAUCAAUAAUUAAUUCCUUCUUCUCUUUAAAUCUUCCACGCAUGUUACAUCCAAGUCAAUUUUUUUAUUUGUGUUAUCAUUUUUUUCCACAACAGCCUGGACAAUUAAUGGACCUACACAAAUGUUUUAUUUUCCAAAUAUCAAACGAAGACUCGAAUUUAUUCAGCAACUAACCAGCCCUGAUCACUCCUAUUCGAUCUUUAACUUGAAACUAAAUUCCUUCUCUUAAUUAGAUGAGUUUAAGUUGGAUAUUAAAAUCCUUGAUUUGUUAGUAUUUUUCUUCAAAUACAAAAAUAUUGUUAUAUAUUAUUCAGAACUUUUUUUUUAUAAACAAUAUUAAAGAUACAUCCCCCAUCUGAUCAAUAUGAUAUAUUUAUCUUAAAUUUUGAACUCGAAAAAAUCACUAAAUGAAGCAUAAAAUGAGUAUAAUUAUAGGGGGUUUGGAUUUGUCAAUAUUGUGCAAGAAUCCUAGCUAGCAGAUAUUAUUGAAAUUAAUUAAGUUGGGCACCUCAAUUUGCAAUCUGUAGGCUGUGAAGUCCGGAUUGCCGGCGGGACCAUCUCAUCUUCUUUCCCGCAUCCACAUGCUCUUAUCUCAUUCAAAAUCUGUGGAUAUAACAAGUCAAAAGAUACAUUUUAUUAAGAUCAUGCUUAGCCUACCCUUGGAUUGUCCAUCUCUCUCUCUCUCUCUCUUUGUUAUUUAGUAAUAUUAUCAAUAUUUUUUCUUGAUACUAAUUAAAACAUAGUUUUUAGCUAAAUAUGAAAGAAACCAAGAAAAAAAAAAGUUCAAAGGGUUUACGUUUCACUUUUAACUGCUCAUCUCCAUUUGGUCUGAUUGAUCUAACUCAAGAUUUAUGUCUAUAGAAAUUAAUUAAAAUAACAGUUUUUAAAAAUAUUUUUUUAAUUUAAAAAUAUAUAAUUUUUUUAAAGUAGAACCAGGUAUGCUUCGGAGCAUAGUUUUGAAAUCUGGCCCAAUAAGUUAACCCGGGAUUCAGCCAAUCCAGAACUGAAACCGGACCGAGUUGAAAAAAAAACAGAGAAAGGCAAAACUUGAUAUGACCUAGCAAGACCUGUUAAUUUUUGUUUUUUAUUUUUUUAUUUUUUUACUAAAAUAAUUUUAUUUUAAUUUUUUUAAAAAAAAAUUAACCUAACUGACCGAAACCUAAAACUCAAGUUUUAAACUAGCCAAGUCAAGAAGACUUGAACCGGAACAAGUUUAAAUAUACUGCUUUGACAAGUUGACUUCCUACCCACCGUGAAACAAGUUUAAGAAGUAAUGUCUUUAAUUGUCACAACUCUUUCUCACAGUCAUCAUCUCCCAUUGCUUUCCCACUUCUUUAGCAACGCGUCUAUAUCUCUUCCUUCACGCCUUUGAUGUGUACAGCAAUAAUCACCACCACCUUAUUUAACACUCUCCCAACUUUCUUAGCCUCCAUAAAGAAUCUUUCUUUUUUCAAGAACACAAAAUGGACCGUAAUGGAAGAGAUGACAUCAAGGUCGAGAAUGGUUAUGAUUUGGAGGAUGAUCAUGAUCACAAAAAGAAGGACAGGAAAGAGGAACAACAAGAAGAGUUGUCAGUGGAAAGAAUAUUUGAGAACCAAGAAGUGCCAUCAUGGAGGAAUCAGCUGACACUGAGGGCCUUUGUGGUGAGCUUCGUGUUGAGCAUUUUGUUCAGCGUCAUAGUAAUGAAGCUCAAUCUUACAACUGGUAUCAUACCUUCCCUCAAUGUCUCUGCUGGCCUUCUGGGCUUCUUUUUUAUCAAGACCUGGACAAAGUUUCUUGAAAAGUCUGGCCUUUUGAAGCAACCCUUUACGAGGCAAGAGAACACAGUUAUCCAGACUUGUGUGGUUGCAUCCUCUGGCAUUGCCUUUAGUGGUAUACUUUCUGUACUUCUUACUGCCAUCAAUUUUCAUUUCAUCUCUCUUACUUUUUGGGUUGAGGAGAUAUGUAGGCUUCUUUGAUCAAGAUAUUAAAAUUUCUGUGCAUUAGGUUUUGUUUCUGUUCUUAAAGGUUUGAAACUUACAGUAGUUACUAAAACUCAAUGUCAAGAUUUGCUUCUUCUAAUUGCUAUAUUACAUGAUAAAGGCAACCCUUUUUCUCUCUCUGGAUCCCUUUUAUCUCAGUUGUGAGUAGAUUUACAUGAUCCUUGAAGACAAGAAUUAAUUCCUUACUGCCUAAAGUCUUCGGGAGGCAAAUCAAGAUUGAGGUUUUAUGACUAUCAGUUCUGCUAUUGCUUCAGCCACUUGUGAAGUUUUACUAAACUAAUCAACACUUGAACUUGCUGUUUGAGACAUGAACAAAUAUACUUUAGUAAAAAAGUUUAAUCAAAUGGUCUGUAAAUUUUCUUUACUAGCUUUUCCCUGUCUCAUGGUGUGUGAUAAUGGUGGAGGGGCUUUUUAUUUUUCUUAUGGUCCUCCACGAGGCAUUAGGUGUGGCUGGCAGAUGUCUCUAGACAGAUACUUUUUUGACAAUUCAAUUCAUAUGAGCUGGAUAUGGAUGAUUCGCUAACUUCAAAGUUAUACAAGUCUUAUAAGAAUAUUCUGAUUAGUGGAAAAGGAAGUCUUCCCCAUUAGGGAGAAAAGAAAAUAUGAAUAAUUAAUUUGUUUGUACUGUUAAUCUAGCUUUCAUCAUGUAAAAUUAAUUUGAAUACACUACAUCAUGUGAAAUUGUUGUAACGAUAGAAAUAAUUUGUGAUUAUGCUCAAGAUGAAAUUAAGCUUGUUGAUUUUUUGUAGUAAUAGUUUCCAUUCUAUAAUCUGUUUCUUGUUUCCUUACAAUAGGAGGCUUUGGGAGCUAUCUGUUUGGAAUGAGUGAAACCGUGGCCAUACAAUCAACAGAAUAUAGAGAUGUCUUUAAGAACCCAUCUCUGUCAUGGAUGAUUGGCUUUCUGUUUGUUGUUAGCUUUCUUGGACUCUUUUCAGUGGUGCCUCUUCGAAAGGUAGACUUCACAACAUUUGAUUAUCGCCAUUCAAUUUCGUAUAGGAAAUAGAAAACUUCUCUCUGCAUUUUGCUUUCUUGUUGAAUGUAUUGAUUUUGCCAAAAUCUAAUCUUCAUUGUUAUUUCCAGGUCAUGAUUGUAGACUUCAAAUUGACAUAUCCAAGUGGCACUGCAACUGCUUAUCUCAUCAACAGCUUCCACACUCCUGCAGGAGCCAAGCUAGCAAGGUAAGGCAUUAUCAGACCUCAUGCACAUAUAGUUGGAUGAUCAUUCGGCAUGUAAAAGUAUCAAACUUCUUCUUUUUUUACUACCGUUUCAGAAAACAAGUGAAAGCGUUGGGCAAGUUCUUAUCAUUCAGCUUCUUGUGGGGUUUCUUUCAGUGGUUCUACACUGCAGGAGAUGGUUGUGGAUUUGUUGAGUUCCCCUCACUCGGGCUUAAAGCAUAUGAAAACAAGUAAAAGCAUUACUCAAACUUCCAAAAUCCUCUCAUCCUAUUGAAUGUAGUUCAAUUUAUUAUGGCACUGUGUUUCAAAUUUGUUGCGGUAUCCUUGACUAAUAAUGUUAUUGUUAUAUGUACAGAUUUUUCUUUGAUUUCUCAGCAACAUAUGUUGGAGUUGGAAUGAUUUGCCCCUACAUCAUAAACAUAUCAGUUUUGCUUGGAGGAAUUCUUUCCUGGGGUCUCAUGUGGCCUCUCAUAGAUACAAAAAAGGGUGAUUGGUAUUCAGCAGACCUCAAAUCUAACAGCCUACAUGGCCUCCAAGGUUACAGGGUAAGUUUUCUAACAAGGUUAAGGUGACAAGAGUGCUAUUCUUGAAGCCUUUUCAUUCAUAACAACUCUUAUGCAAUGAACUCAGGUAUUUAUUGCCAUUGCCCUGAUCUUGGGUGACGGUCUGUACAACUUCUUCAAGGUGCUAAGCCGAACACUCACUGCCUUGUAUUUUCAACUUCAAAGGAAAGAUGCAACUGGUGCCCUCCCUAUUGCGGACCGUUCCUCUCCUGAGAACUCCAGGAUCUCAUACAAUGAUCAACGCCGCACCCAACUCUUUCUCAAAGAUCAAAUUCCAACAUGGUUUGCUGUUGCAGGCUAUGUCGCAAUUGCUGCUAUCUCUAUAGCCACGCUACCGCAUAUAUUUCCUGAACUCAAAUGGUAUUACAUAUUGGUUAUCUACAUCUUCGCCCCAGCCCUUGCAUUCUGUAAUGCUUAUGGCUGUGGCCUCACUGACUGGUCCCUCGCUUCCACCUAUGGAAAGCUUGCAAUUUUUGUAAUUGGAGCAUGGGCUGGUGCCUCUCAUGGUGGAGUUCUUGCAGGACUAGCGGCCUGUGGAGUCAUGAUGAAUAUCGUGUCCACAGCCUCCGACCUCUCUCAAGAUUUCAAGACUGGUUAUCUAACCCUUUCUUCACCACGGUCCAUGUUUGUUAGCCAACUAAUUGGCACUGCAAUGGGUUGCAUUAUUUCACCUUGUGUCUUUUGGCUGUUUUUCAAGGCCUUCAAGGAUCUUGGGAUUCCUGGAAGUCAAUACCCUGCUCCUAAUGCUACUGUAUUUCGAAACAUGGCUAUAUUGGGGGUAGACGGAUUCUCGUCUCUACCAAAGAAUUGCCUCUAUCUUUGCUAUGGGUUCUUCAGUGCAGCUAUUCUGAUAAAUUUAAUUAAGGAUGCAUUGGGUAAGAAAUGGGCUAGGUUCAUUCCCAAUCCAAUGGCGAUGGCUAUACCUUUCUAUAUUGGCUCAUACUUUGCCAUCGACAUGUGUGUGGGAAGCUUGAUGCUGUUUAUCUGGGAAAAGAUUGACAAGGCAAAGGCAGAUGCUUUUGGGCCAGCAGUGGCUUCUGGUUUGAUUUGCGGGGAUGGGAUAUGGACUUUGCCUAGUGCGAUACUUGCUCUAGUAGGAGUAAAACCUCCCAUUUGCAUGAAGUUUUUGUCAAGGAGAACAAAUGCUAAGGUCGAUGCGUUCUUAGGGUCAUAAAGUCGAAGUUGAGAUCAACUUGAAUAGAAACUGUUAAGUAAAGCUGAAUUGCUUCCUAGACUAAGGUUAUGAAGUUUACAUGUGAAGUUCGACUCAAAAAUGCUGUGGAUAAUCAAUCACCUGCAAUUUCGUGGAGCCAACCACUAUUUUCGCUAUAAUCUUUUCUGGAGAAGAAAAUCAAAUGUCCAUUUACUUACAUAUGUUUGUAGUUUUUUUCUAGUCUAGUUUGAAGAAGAUAGUAGAACAGAUGCAUCAAGCAAUGUGAAAAGUGAAAAUUACAGUACCCUUUGUGAGCUGUUAUGAUCAGUUGCUAUAUUUGGUAUCAGUUUGCUCAUUUUGCUAGCUAUCAUAUAUCAGGUGGUCCGAUGUGGCAUUGGAAUGGCCUUCUAGUUGUUAGCAGUCUCACAAUAAAAUCAUGCCAGACUUAGUCAUCCAACACGAGAAAAAAAAAAAGAUGGAAAAAAUAUCAGAUGCGUCGAGGAAGACGAUAAAAGCUUCAGCGAAUGAGACUUGUAACAAAUAUUUUACCUAGGUGUUUCCUAAUAAUAUGAAAAGAAGCUGAAAAAUAGAUAAGCAUUCCCGUAGUGAUCUUAAUGGCAUCUAAGCCCAGAGUGAGUGAAGUACAUAAAGAGUGCAACUAUAUUCAUAGUUAAUUAUCAUAGAAUCCUCAACUCUCCAUCUUGCUGUUGUUAUGAUUUGUUUAUAACUCAUCUUCAAUCUCAUGCUUUGUAAGGCAAGAUCCUGCAUUGUUUUUUAGAGAUAAGUUUAAAUUAAAUAACGUUAUAUUUUAUAUAUAUAAUAUAAAGAUUACAAACUCAAUCAUUUGGAUUAUUUUGUGACUGUAGUGUGUUUAAAAAUAUAACAGUAAGUAAUUCCUGUUCUAGAAAAUUUUAAAAUAAUAUAUUUUUUUUAUUUUAAAAAAUGUAUUUUUCAUAUUAGUAUAUUAAAAUAAUUAAAAAAUAUUAAAUAAAAAGUAAUUUAAAACACAGACAGGUUAAAACUCACUGCAACGACCCGUUUUAACUCCUCCUCAUGUUCGUCUUCAAUUCGGAUGUGUUGAGCAAUAAUCACAGCCACUUAUUAAACACGCUCCCAACUCUCUUCGUCUCCAUAAAGAAUCAUUCUUUUAAGAAAAUAAAAUGGAACGUAAUGAAAGAGACGACACCAAGGUAGAGAAUGAUUAUGAUUUGGAGGAUGAUCAUGGUCACAGAAAGAAGGACAAGAAAGAGGAACAAGAAGAAGAGUUGUCAGUGGAAAGAAUAUUUGAGAACCAAGAAGUGCCAUCAUUGGAGGAAUCAGCUGACACUGAGGGCCUUUGUGGUGAGCUUCGUGUUGAGCAUUUUAUUCAGCGUCAUAGUAAUGAAGCUCAAUCUUACAACUGGUAUCAUACCUUCCCUCAAUGUCUCUGCUGGCCUUCUGGGCUUCUUUUUUAUCAAGACCUGGACAAAGUUUCUUGAAAAGUCUGGACUUUUGAAGCAACCCUUUACGAGGCAAGAGAACACUGUAAUACAGACUUGCGUGGUUGCCUCAUCUGGCAUUGCCUUUAGUGGUAUACUUUCUGUACUGUUUACUAUCAUUAAUUUUCAUUUCAUCUCUCUUAAUUAUUUUGAAAUUCAAUUUUUUUUUCUCUUUUCUUUCGAAGUUGAGGAGAUAUCUAGGUUUCUUUUAUCAAGAUAUUAAUAUUUCUGUGCAUUUGGUUUUGUUUCUGUUCUUAAAGGUUGCAAACUUACAAUAGUUACUAAAAUUCGAUGUCAAGAUUUCCAUCUUCUAAUUGCUAGAUUACCUGAUGAGGCAACCACUUUUACUAGAGUAAUCAACACUUAAACUUACCAUUAGAGACAUGAACAAAUCUAUCUCUGUCUCCUGGAGUGUGAUAAUGUUAGGGGUGCAGCUGGUAUGUCACUUGACAGAUACUUUUUUGACAGUUCAAUUCAUAUGCGCUGGAUGUGGAUGACUUCCUAAGUUCAGAUUUAUAUCAGCAAGUCUUAUAACAAUAUUCUGAUUUGUGGAAAAAGAAGUCUUCUCCAUUAGUAAAAGAAAGGAAAAUGUGAAUAAUAUAUGUUUCUAGAAUGCUAGUUGUGAGCUUGCGUUAUUAAUCAAACAUCUUCUCAAACUGUGAAUCAUUAACAUAAUGUCAAGAUGAAUACAUUAUAUUUCUAACUCGUCCAAAUAGUCAAGAAAAGCCUGAUUACUUGCCAAACUUGUUUCGAAACUGAAUUAAUUAUUGUCAUGAAACGGUUAAUUUGUGAUUAUGCUUAUGAUGAUAUUAAACUUGUUGAUUUUUGUACUAAUGGUUUCCAUUCUAUAAUUUUUUCCUUGUUUCCUUAUAAUAGGAGGCUUUGGGAGUUAUCUGUUUGGAAUGAGUGAAACUGUGGCCAAACAAUUAACUGAAGAUAGUGAUGCCUUUAAAAAUCCAUCUCUGUCUUGGAUGAUUGGCUUUUUGUUUGUCGUUAGCUUUCUUGGGCUCUUUUCGGCGGUGCCUCUACGAAAGGUAGACUUUACAACUUAUAUCAGCAUUCAAUUUCUUUAUAUGAUUAUAGAAAAUAGAAAACUUUUUUUUGCAUUUUACAUUUUUGCCGAAUGUAUAGAUUUUCCAAAAAUUAAUCCUCAUUGUUACCCUGGUUAUUUCCAGGUCAUGAUUAUAGACUUCAAAUUGACAUAUCCAAGUGGCACUGCAACUGCUCAUCUCAUCAACAGCUUCCACACUCCUGCAGGAGCCAAGCUAGCAAAGUAAGGCGUUAUCAGACCUCAUGCACUUAUAGUUGGAUGAUCAUUUGACAUGUAAGAGUAUUGAACUUUGUUAUUCUACUGUUACAGGAAACAAGUGAGAGUGUUGGGCAAGUUCUUCUCAUUCAGCUUCUUGUGGGGUUUCUUUCAAUGGUUCUACACUGCAGGAGAUGGUUGUGGAUUUGCUGAGUUCCCCUCGCUUGGUCUUAAAGCACAUGAAAACAAGUAAAAGCAUUACUCAACCUUCCAAAAUCCUCUCUUCUUGUUGAAUGUAGUUCCAUUUACUAUGGCAUUCUGUUUCAAAUUCGUUGUGGUAUCUUUGACUAAUAAUGUUCUUGUUACAUGUACAGAUUUUUCUUUGAUUUCUCAGCAACAUAUGUUGGAGUUGGAAUGAUUUGCCCCUACAUCAUAAACAUAUCAGUUUUGCUUGGAGGAAUUCUUUCCUGGGGUCUCAUGUGGCCUCUCAUAGAUACAAAAAAGGGUGACUGGUAUCCAGCAGACCUCAAACCAGGCAGCUUGCAUGGCCUCCAAGGUUACAAGGUAAGUUUUCUAACAAGGUUAAGGUGACAAGAAUGCCAAUUACAUGAUUUUUAACAUUUUCUUGAAGCCUUUUCUUUCAUACCAACACUUAAGCAAUGAACACAGGUAUUUAUUGCCACUGCCCUGAUCUUGGGUGACGGUCUAUACAACUUCUUCAAGGUUCUAAGCCGAACACUCGCUGCAUUGUUUUUUCAACUUCGUGGGAGAGAUGCAACUGGUGCUCUGCCUAUUGCUGACCGUUCCUCUCCCAAGACAUCCAGGAUCUCCUAUGAUGAGCAACGUCGCACCCAACUCUUUCUCAAAGAUCAAAUUCCAACAUGGUUUGCUUUUGCAGGUUAUGUCACAAUUGCUGCCAUUUCUACAACCACCGUUCCGCAUAUAUUUCCCGAACUAAAAUGGUAUUACAUAUUGGUUAUCUACAUCUUUGCCCCAGCCCUUGCAUUCUGUAAUGCUUAUGGUUGUGGACUCACUGAUUGGUCCCUUGCUUCCACCUAUGGGACGCUUGCUAUUUUUGUAAUUGGGGCGUGGGCUGGUGCCUCUCAUGGUGGAGUUCUUGCAGGACUAGCGGCCUGUGGAGUCAUGAUGAAUAUUGUCUCCACAGCCUCUGAUCUAUCUCAAGAUUUCAAGACUGGUUAUUUGACCCUUUCUUCACCUCGGUCCAUGUUUGUGAGCCAGCUAAUUGGCACUGCAAUGGGUUGCAUGAUUUCCCCGUGUGUAUUUUGGCUUUUUUUUAAGGCCUUCAAGGAUCUGGGGACUCCUGGAAGUCAAUACCCUGCUCCUUAUGCUACUGUAUUUCGAAACAUGGCUAUAUUGGGGGUAGAAGGAUUCUCCUCUCUCCCAAAGAAUUGUCUCUAUCUUUGUUAUUGGUUCUUCGGUGCAGCAAUUCUGAUAAAUUUGAUCAAGGAUGUGUUGGGUAAGAAACGGGCUAGGUUCAUUCCCAAUCCAAUGGCAAUGGCUAUACCUUUCUAUAUUGGCUCAUACUUUGCCAUCGACAUGUGCGUGGGAAGCUUGAUUCUAUUUAUCUGGGAAAAUAUUGACAAGGCAAAGGCAGAUGCUUUUGG
rnacentral:lncRNA from 1 species